rnacentral:lncRNA from 1 species
GCGGCGGGGGGUGAUGCAACAAGCUAAGGGCGCUGGUGUGUCUGGAGGAGGAAGAAAGGAGGGGGUGAGGAGGAAGGGAGCCGGCGCGCCGCUGUAGCGUAGACUCGCCGCGCCAGCGUGGCAGGGCCCGCCACGCCAGUGCAUGCAGCGCGGCAGAGGCUACCUGCCGUGCCAGGCGAUCUGGCGCAACCAAAAGGGUUAUUUGCGCAAAUAAAAUCCCGCUGAGGUUAUUUUUAAAAAUAAAUAAAAAAAGUUAAAAAUAAAAAAAUUCAACAUGAGGGAACCAUACAUCAAGGUGUGCAGUGUGCUCUUACAGAGCAUGAGGAACUACAGGACUUCAGCAAACC